GUCUGACCCAAGUUCAUUUAUUCUACUCUACUUAUUGGAUUCUGCAGUCCCACUAGUGAAUUGAAUUUCACAGCUGAUUCAGAGCAAACAAACAAACAGAAGAGAAGUGAAGCAAUUGUCUGUGUUGAUAAGCUGAAAGGUCAUUACGUAGUUGACACUUUGUUGUCAUUUUUUGUACUGAUUCUCAAAUAGGAGUGUCGUGCACUGAAACAUUGUAAUCUCUCUCUGAAUUACUUGAAUCUGUCUGUUGCCAGAAUGUUGCUGUUGCUUUCAGGUAAUUCCUCUUAAAGCACCAGCUGAUAUAAUUUGUCUUGCGUGUUUGCAGAAUAGAAUAUCCACCAAGUGAUGGCUCACAGUGCGAUGUCCUUGGUUCCUCAAGGGCUUUGUGGAUGCGGCGGUAUGCAGCAGCAGCAGCCAACAGAGCAUUCCAACAAGGGACAUCCAUUCCAAAGGAUGCUCAAAUAGGUGGGAGGUGGUUGGUUAUUGGGAUUCAGCAUCAGCCUCGCACGCACCACUUGAGAAGAAACUUUUGUGUAUUCGCCUCUGUAGAUUAAAUUGGUACGGCAGUAGAAUUGUGUUUUUUCUAGAUAGAGUAGAAGAGUAAAAUCGUUCCAUUUUGGAACAAGUAGAAACUCGAUGGGAUGGGCAACCAUCUUCCACUUCCUCCGAGAAAAAAAUGAUUCUUCUGGAUCAGUUGAUGCACCCAGCCAUAUUAUUAUUAUUA
rnacentral:lncRNA from 1 species